rnacentral:tRNA from 1 species
CAGGGAGACAACAAAAUGUAAAUAUUAAUUUUGUCACCUUAGGUCGAUCGGUAUCUCAGAUUCUUAUUAUUUAAGAAUUUCAGUUUCUAAGUUUUUUCUAGGUCACACCCAUCACUUUUUCCUGGGCCAUUAGCUCAGGUGGUUAGAGCGCACCCCUGAUAAGGGUGAGGUCCCUGGUUCAAGUCCAGGAUGGCCCAUAUCUCUAUGUUGGGGGUAUAGCUCAGUUGGUAGAGCGCCUGCUUUGCAAGCAGGAUGUCAGCGGUUCGAGUCCGCUUACCUCCACUGAAUACCACCUCUUACAUAUAGUUGAAGUGGGAAAUUGUUUUGAGUCGUGUCCUAAUUUGCUCUGAGCGAAUCUAGCUUCCUAUUUUAUCCAACAAAUAAGAUGCUGGACUCAUUGAAUUUUUUUUCAUUGUUUUCAGAGAACCUUGACAACUGCAUAGAUUAUUUUUAAAGACAAUAAGCAUCUUUAAUGAUGCAGAUUUAUUAUUUGUGCGAAUGCAUUAAAUAACAAUUCUAUUAAGCUGAUGCUUCAAUUAUUGAAGUUAUU